rnacentral:rRNA from 1 species
CAGCAGCCGCGGGAAUACGAAGGGUGCAAGCGUUUAUCGGAAUUACUGGGCGUAAAGCGUGCGUAGGCGGUUUGUUAAGUCUGCUGUGAAAUCCCCGGGCUCAACCUGGGAAUGGCAGUGGAUACUGGCAAGCUAGAGUGUGUCAGAGGAUGGUGGAAUUCCCGGUGUAGCGGUGAAAUGCGUAGGGAUCGGGAGGAACAUCAGUGGCGAAGGCGGCCAUCUGGGACAACACUGACGCUGAGGCACGAAAGCGUGGGGAGCAAACAGGAUUAGAGACCCGCGUAGUCCCUGUCUCUUAUAC